rnacentral:rRNA from 1 species
CCAAUAGCGUAUAUUAAAGUUGUUGCAGUUAAAAAGCUCGUAGUUGAAUUUCGAGACCGGUUUACUGGUCGUGCUUUUGUACGUACUGGUAUUAUUGGUUUCUCCUUUCUGACGAAUCUUAAUGCCAUUAAUUUGGUGUUUUGGGGAAUCAGGACUGUUACUUUGAAAAAAUUAGAGUGUUUAAAGCAGGCUCACGCUUGAAUACAUUAGCAUGGAAUAACGAAAUAGGACGUUUGAUUUUAUUUUGUUGGUUUCUAGGAUCGACGUAAUGAUUAAUAGGGAUAGUUGGGGGCAUUAGUAUUCAAUUGUCAGAGGUGAAAUUCUUGAAUUUAUUGAAGACUAACUACUGCGAAAGCAUUUGCCAAGGAUGUUUUCAUUAAUCAAGAACGAAAGUUAGGGGAUCGAAGACGAUCAGAUACCGUCGUAGUCUUAACCAUAAACUAUGCCGACUAGGGAUCGGAUGAUGUUAAUUUUUUAAUGACUCAUUCGGCGCCUUACG